AUUAUUUUAUAUAUAUGAAUCUCCCCAUUUUGUACUAUCGGCAUUAUGCUUUGUUGUUUUUAAGAAAAGGGUUUUAGUUUUACCAGGAGAGUCAUCAGUCAGACCCUUGAAAAUAAUCAAAAAAAAAUCUCAGAUUCCACAGAGAUCAUCACAAACUAAGAGAAAGAGAGAGAAAGAGGAAGAGGGCAAGUGGAUCCCAAAUUAAAAUGCUGCUGCUUCAUUUCAUUUUCACACUGCCAUUCUCAGAUCGGAUCACAUUUAUUUCUUUCACUCAAAUUCAUCAGAGACCAUCAACAGCUUUCUUUUUUCAUUGGGGAAGUGAGAGAGUUUGCAAGGUUUGAAGAAGCCGCUGGGAUUUGGUUUUAAUUGUUUGUUGAUUUGCUGCAGUUUGGAAACUGUAAAUUAGCAUCAAAUUUAAAUGCUGGUCAAACCUAGAUUUCUGCUCAUUUGAUUCUCUAAUUAUAAUAAAUUAGUUUUGUAGAUUUUUAA